rnacentral:tRNA from 1 species
AAUGAAUUGCCUGAUGAAAAGGAUUAUCUUGAUAGGGUAAAUCAUGUGGUAUCCCACAUUCAUUA